UGGGGAAUAUUGGACAAUGGGCGCAAGCCUGAUCCAGCCAUGCCGCGUGAGUGACGAAGGCCUUAGGGUUGUAAAGCUCUUUUGGCGGGGAAGAUAAUGACGGUACCCGCAGAAUAAGCUCCGGCUAACUUCGUGCCAGCAGCCGCGGUAAUACGAAGGGAGCUAGCGUUGUUCGGAAUCACUGGGCGUAAAGCGCACGUAGGUGGGCAGUUAAGUCAGGGGUGAAAGCCCGAGGCUCAACCUCGGAAUUGCCUCUGAUACUGGCUGUCUAGAGUUCGAGAGAGGUGAGUGGAAUUCCUAGUGUAGAGGUGAAAUUCGUAGAUAUUAGGAAGAACACCGGUGGCGAAGGCGGCUCACUGGCUCGAUACUGACACUGAGGUGCGAAAGCGUGGGGAGCAAACAGGAUUAGAUACCCGCGUAGUCCCUGAGCGGGCUGGCAAGGCGCAU
rnacentral:rRNA from 1 species